rnacentral:lncRNA from 1 species
UUGAAUGUGGUUUGUUCGGUCAAUUAGUCACUUGAAAAUGGUUAAGUGUAGGGACUUUAAAGGGUAUUUUGUUGUUUUGAAUGGGAUUCGUUAGGUCACUUAGUCACUUGAAAAUGGUUAAGUGUAGGGACUUUAAAGGGGAAUUAUUUGUUUUGAAUGUGGUUUGUUCGGUGACUUAGGUGGUUGAAAAUGGUUAAGUGUAGGGACUUUAAAGGGGAAUUAUUUGUUUUGAAUGUGGUUUGUUCGGUGACUUAGGUGGUUGAAAAUGGUUAAGUGUAGGGACUUUAAAGUGGAAUUAUUUGUCAAUAAUGUG